rnacentral:rRNA from 1 species
GUGUCAGCAGCCGCGGUAAUACGUAGGGUCCAAGCGUUAUCCGGAAUCACUGGGCGUAAAGCGUGCGUAGGUGGAUGUUUAAGUGAGUUGUUAAAUCGUGGGGCUCAACCCUGUCGAUGCAAUUCAUACUGGGCGUCUAGAGGACGGCAGAGGCAAGUGGAAUUGGUAGUGUAGCAGUGAAAUGCGUAGAUAUUACCAGGAACACCAAUGGCGAAGGCAGCUUGCUGGGCCACUCCUGACACUGAGGUACGAAAGCGUGGGGAGCGAACAGGAUUAGAAACCCGAGUAGUCC